rnacentral:rRNA from 1 species
UGGGGAAUAUUGGACAAUGGGCGCAAGCCUGAUCCAGCCAUGCCGCGUGAGUGAUGAAGGCCCUAGGGUUGUAAAGCUCUUUCGGCGGGGACGAUAAUGACGGUACCCGCAGAAGAAGCCCCGGCUAACUUCGUGCCAGCAGCCGCGGUAAUACGAAGGGGGCUAGCGUUGCUCGGAAUCACUGGGCGUAAAGGGCGCGUAGGCGGAUUGCUAAGUCAGAGGGUGAAAGCCCAAGGCUCAACCUUGGAAUUGCCUUUGAUACUGGCGAUCUCGAGACCGGAAGAGGUAAGUGGAACUGCGAGUGUAGAGGUGAAAUUCGUAGAUAUUCGCAAGAACACCAGUGGCGAAGGCGGCUUACUGGUCCGGUUCUGACGCUGAGGCGCGAAAGCGUGGGGAGCAAACAGGAUUAGAUACCCUGGUAGUCCACGCCGUAAACGAUGGAUGCUAGCCGUUGGCCGGCUUGCCGGUCAGUGGCGCAGCUAACGCUUUAAGCAUCCCGCCUGGGGAGUAC